CAUCUGGUGGGGCACAGAACACAAGCUCAGGGAAGAACACCCACUCAGCAGAGAGCCAGACUCAGACAAAUUUAGACGGUAGUUAGUAAGGCAGUGUUUGAAGCGCAAUGGCCUGGGUUCCUCACACCCACUUAACAGCAAGGUGACUCCAAGGUCACACCACUUGACCUCCCUGUGUAUCAGUUUCCUCAUCUGUAAAAUGGGGAGAACUAUAAACCCUGUUUGCUAAGGUUGGAAUGAGAAAAUUAAUCCAUGGAAAACAUCUAUCUAUAGAAAAGGCUAAUAUGCUAAGUAUCCAUCCAACCAGUAACUAUGAUACACAAUCACCACCAGGGGGCAGACGCUCAACAGAGGAGCUGCAGUGACUCACACUGGCCAUUAACAGAAAAACAGCACCUCGGACCUGGCGCCCACAAAGCAACCCCAGAGUGUCAGCCCACCAAAUCGCAGCCGACACUUGCCAAGACCCCAUGGCACAAAAUGUGGCCCACAGCCCAGCCUGGAAACGGUGGCUGUGGGCGCUGGGUAAUGAUGUCACAUAGCAACAACCAGCUCUCUCUCCCUAGCAAUUAGCCUCCUUGGAGUUUCUUCAGCCCAGAAACACAAUUGGCUUUGUAGCCAGGGGGAAACGUUUUCACUGUAACCAAAUGUGAAGCAGUUUUCCCGUGUCUCAUGUCAUUUGAUCCUCACAAAAGUCCUGGAGAAGGUAGAUAGGAGACUCAGUGGAAUCCUAUUUUCUUUUUAUUAGUCGGAAAACAGAUAUUUAGAAAGCUUAGAAACUUGACCCAACUGAAAAGAAUAAAGGAUGAACCCUGAAAGUGACUUCAGAUUUUCUCACUGACAGAAUAUAGUCAAACACUGCUGCAGUUAAAUAUUUCACCCUUUGUUCUCCCUGCGUGAUCUAUAACAAUAAUCUGUUCGUGUUGAUAUUGACUACUGUGUUGCUGACAACUACCUGAAAGAGAAAUUAGGAUGCUUCACUGGGCUAGAAAAAGUUUAGCUAAAUCAGAAAGCAAGUUAAAUUAAGCAAGUUUAUUCUAUAUGUAUAAAGGGCUAAGUUGACUCGCCCAUGCGAGAUACAUAUAAAACCCUCACUAGCACCAAUCACACGCGUGUGUUUCAAUCUGUCAUUGUCGAUCAUGAAUUUGAUUGACACUUAUAUUAUAGAGAAAGAGCAAAUAGCGAUAUUAAAAUAUUUCUAAUUCCUCUCAAUGUGCACGAAUUCGUGCACUGGGCCACUAGUUACCAUAUAAACAAGUGUAAGAAUGUGGACUUUAAUCCCCAAGGUAGCACACCAGAAAAGCACAUAGGCACUGCUACAGGACUCCAAGCUGGUGUGGGCCUCAGCUCCCCCACCUUCCCAGAUCCCCUGUGGGCUUAUGAUGGGAUGGGGAGAGACUGGUGGUGUCACAACAUACAAAGAAUGGGCAUACCACAUAUAGGGGAAACGUGUACAGACAGGCAGCAGGGAGCAUUCGAACAAAAGGCAUGAGCAGGCACACACACAAAGCAAGCACACCCACGGGUGGGUGGGUGUGUGUGUGUGUGUGUGUGUGUGCGCGCGUGCGCGCGCGCGCAUGCACAAGGCAGAUAUGACACAUUCAGAGGCCAAGUUCACACACUCAGAUAAGUCAAGUGCAUACACAGAGGGAAAAUGUAGGCAUAUAUGCUGGAAACAGUAAACA